rnacentral:rRNA from 1 species
GACGGGGGGGGCUAGUGUUAUUCGGAAUGACUAGGCGUAAAGGGCACGUAGGCGGUGAAUCCGGUUGAAAGUGAAAGUCGCCAGCUCAACUGGCGGAAUGCUUUCAAAACCAAUUCACUUGAGUAAGAUAGUGGAUAGUGGAAUUUCGUGUGUAGAGAUAAAAUUCACAGAUAUACGAAGGAACACCAAAAGCGAAGGCAGCUUUCUGGGUCUCUACUGACGCUGAGGUGCGAAAGCAUAGGGAGCAAACAGG